rnacentral:rRNA from 1 species
GACGAACGCUGGCGGCGUGCUUAACACAUGCAAGUCGAGCGGAAAGGCCCUUCGGGGUACUCGAGCGGCGAACGGGUGAGUAACACGUGAGUAAUCUGCCCUUGGCUUUGGGAUAACUACCGGAAACGGUGGCUAAUACCGGAUACGACGCACUCAGGCAUCUGAUGUGUGUGGAAAGUUUUUUCGGCCAGGGAUGUGCUCGCGGCCUAUCAGCUUGUUGGUGGGGUAAUGGCCUACCAAGGCUUCGACGGGUAGCCGGCCUGAGAGGGUGACCGGCCACACUGGGACUGAGACACGGCCCAGACUCCUACGGGAGGCAGCAGUGGGGAAUAUUGGACAAUGGGCGGAAGCCUGAUCCAGCAACGCCGCGUGAGGGAUGACGGCCUCGGUU